CGGCGUGCUUAACACAUGCAAGUCGAACGGAAAGGCCCUGCUUUUGUGGGGUGCUCGAGUGGCGAACGGGUGAGUAACACGUGAGUAACCUGCCCUUGACUUUGGGAUAACUUCAGGAAACUGGGGCUAAUACCGGAUAGGAGCUCCUGCUGCAUGGUGGGGGUUGGAAAGUUUCGGCGGUUGGGGAUGGACUCGCGGCUUAUCAGCUUGUUGGUGGGGUAGUGGCCUACCAAGGCUUUGACGGGUAGCCGGCCUGAGAGGGUGACCGGCCACAUUGGGACUGAGAUACGGCCCAGACUCCUACGGGAGGCAGCAGUGGGGAAUAUUGCACAAUGGGCGGAAGCCUGAUGCAGCAACGCCGCGUGCGGGAUGACGGCCUUCGGGUUGUAAACCGCUUUCGCCUGUGACGAAGCGUGAGUGACGGUAAUGGGUAAAGAAGCACCGGCUAACUACGUGCCAGCAGCCGCGGUGAUACGUAGGGUGCGAGCGUUGUCCGGAUUUAUUGGGCGUAAAGGGCUCGUAGGUGGUUGAUCGCGUCGGAAGUGUAAUCUUGGGGCUUAACCCUGAGCGUGCUUUCGAUACGGGUUGACUUGAGGAAGGUAGGGGAGAAUGGAAUUCCUGGUGGAGCGGUGGAAUGCGCAGAUAUCAGGAGGAACACCAGUGGCGAAGGCGGUUCUCUGGGCCUUUCCUGACGCUGAGGAGCGAAAGCGUGGGGAGCGAACAGGCUUAGAUACCCUGGUAGUCCACGCUGUAAACGGUGGGUACUAGGUGUGGGGUCCAUUCCACGGGUUCCGUGCCGUAGCUAACGCUUUAAGUACCCCGCCUGGGGAGUACGGCCGCAAGGCUAAAACUCAAAGGAAUUGACGGGGCCCCGCACAAGCGGCGGAGCAUGCGGAUUAAUUCGAUGCAACGCGUAGAACCUUACCUGGGUUUGACAUGGAUCGGGAGUGCUCAGAGAUGGGUGUGCCUCUUUUGGGGUCGGUUCACAGGUGGUGCAUGGCUGUCGUCAGCUCGUGUCGUGAGAUGUUGGGUUAAGUCCCGCAACGAGCGCAACCCUUGUUCACUGUUGCCAGCACGUUAUGGUGGGGACUCAGUGGAGACCGCCGGGGUCAACUCGGAGGAAGGUGGGGAUGACGUCAAGUCAUCAUGCCCCUUAUGUCCAGGGCUUCACGCAUGCUACAAUGGCUGGUACAGAGAGUGGCGAGCCUGUGAGGGUGAGCGAAUCUCGGAAAGCCGGUCUCAGUUCGGAUUGGGGUCUGCAACUCGACCUCAUGAAGUCGGAGUCGCUAGUAAUCGCAGAUCAGCAACGCUGCGGUGAAUACGUUCCCGGGGCUUGUACACACCGCCCGUCAAGUCAUGAAAGUUGGUAACACCCGAAGCCGGUGGCCUAACCGUUGUGGGGGAGCCGUCGAAGGUGGGACUGGUGAUUAGG
rnacentral:rRNA from 1 species